rnacentral:misc_RNA from 1 species
GAUGAAGAACGUAGCGAAAUGCGAUACUUGGUGUGAAUUGCAGAAUCCCGUGAACCAUCGAGUCUUUGAACGCAAGUUGCGCCCGAAGCCACUAGGCCGAGGGCACGCCUGCCUGGGCGUCACACGUCGUUGCCCCCCCAUCUACUCCUUCGGGAUUGCGGGGGGGCGGAUGAUGGCCUCCCGUGCGCCUAGCCGCGCGGUUGGCAUAAAUACCAAGUCCUCGGCGACGCACGCCACGACAAUCGGUGGUUGCGAAACCUCGGUUGCCCGUCGUGUGCGUUCGUCGCGCGCGCGUCGUCCGGGGCUUUUUCCAAUCUAAUGCGCGUCGAUUCGUCGGCGCUUUCAACGCGACCCCAGGUCAGGCGGGGUUACCCGCUGAAUUUAAGCAUAUCAAUAAGCGGAGGA